rnacentral:lncRNA from 1 species
AAUGCCUGCUGCUUCUCCAAGCCUUCAUGGAAGGCGAUUUCUUUCCAGCGCAUCUCCAGAGAUGGCUAGGCCCUGCUCUCCCUGGACACCCUGCUCUGUCCCAUCCUGAGGACAGUGCCUAGAGCAGACUGGCCCAUGUCGUGUCCUUUCCCAAAGUCCAGAGGCAAGGAGACAGGCACUGACAGACAUUUGAGCCAGAUAAAUAGGAGAGGCCCAGGGUUCUACUGGCUACACAAAGAGCAGACAGAGUUCAGAGAGGGAGUGCACAUCUAUGACCAGGAGUCCAGGAAAGAGUAAUGGAAGAAGAGAUAUCAGAGCUCAACUCAGUCCUUAAGGAGCCCACACCUGGCAGUUCCUGUGUGUGAAUCCCAAGCAAUCCACACGUUCAGGUUUGAUUUGCCCUGUGGAGAAGCUUGGAGACCUCAGAGUGGAGGCAGUGAUGCCAAUGUCUACUUGAGUCAAGGAAGAUGGCAGCCAAAGAUUUCCAGCCACGAGCAAUGCUUCCUCCAAGAUGACCAGGCUGGGCUUUAUCCCGAGCUCCGUUCAAACCACACAGACAGCAAGCAGGGGUGCGGAGAUGCAGUCCGCUGAGCUGGCCCUGGGGCCAGGCACCCUUCUGGAGGAGUCGGACAAGCCCCACAGUGAAGAAACUACCAGCCAGGGCUCUAGUCCCUGGGACCGAUCCCCACCCGUGCUGUCCGGUCCAUUUUGGCUUACUUUGCAGACAUGGUCACAGACGUACUAAGCCUUUCAAGGUGGCUUGGUAAGAAGAGUAGGCUUGGAUUGUACGGAAUCAGAGUGAGGGGUGGUGGCCCAGGUGAAAGGCUGGCUCCCAAAAAGAUGGGAAGUUUGAGUCUGUUUUCCACUGCCAAGAGUUUUGGAAACCUUGGGUUCAUCUAAGCCAGCACCCUGGAGAGAUGCCAGCACAGAGACUCUGGACCUUACAGGGGGUCCAGGACCUUACAGGACCCGACCCUGCAGGAGCCAGAGCCUUUCCCUGGGGUCCAAAAGAAGCUGAG